GACGAACGCUGGCGGCGUGCCUAAUACAUGCAAGUCGAGCGCUGAAGGUUGGUACUUGUGCUGACUGGGUGAGCAGCGGACGGGUGAGUAACGCGUGGGGAAUCUGCCUCUUAGCGGGGGACAACAUUUGGAAACGAAUGCUAAUACCGCAUAAAAACUUUAACCACAAGGUUGAAGGUUGAAAGAUGCAAUUGCAUCACUGAAAGAUGAUCCCGCGUUGUAUUAGCUAGUUGGUUAGGUAAAGGCUCACCAAGGGGAUGAUACAUAGCCGAGCUGGGAGGGUGAUCGGCCACACUGGGACUGAGACACGGCCCAAGCUCCUACGGGAGGCAGCAGUAGGGGAUCUUUGGAAAUGGCGGAAAGUCUGAACGAGGAACGCCGCGUGGGUGAAGGAGGUUUUCGGAUCGUAAAACUCUGUUGGUAGGGAAGAAAGUUGGUGAGAGUGGAAAGCUCAUGUAGUGACGGUAACUACACAGAAAGGGACGGCUAACUACGUG
rnacentral:rRNA from 1 species